GAUGAACGCUGGCGGCGUGCUUAACACAUGCAAGUCGAACGGAAAGGCCCUGCUUUUGUGGGGUGCCCGAGUGGCGAACGGGUGAGUAACACGUGAGUAACCUGCCCUUGACUUUGGGAUAACUUCAGGAAACUGGGGCUAAUACCGGAUAGGAGCUCCUGCUGCAUGGUGGGGGUUGGAAAGUUUCGGCGGUUGGGGAUGGACUCGCGGCUUAUCAGCUUGUUGGUGGGGUAGUGGCUUACCAAGGCUUUGACGGGUAGCCGGCCUGAGAGGGUGACCGGCCACAUUGGGACUGAGAUACGGCCCAGACGCCUACGGGGGGCAGCAGGGGGGAAUAUGGCACAAUGGGCGGAAGCCUGAUGCAGCAACGCCGCGUGCGGGAUGACGGCCUUCGGGUUGUAAACCGCUUUCGCCUGUGACGAAGCGUGAGUGACGGUAAUGAGUAAAGAAGCACCGGCUAACUACGUG
rnacentral:rRNA from 1 species